AGCCGGCCAUUUUGUCCUUCAGGCAGGAAACUUGGGGUUAUCGAAAGCGAUCAAACCGGUUUUUAACUUUUUUUUUUUUUGCCGUGCUAGCGGAAGGCAAAACCGGGCAGCAAUAGAAUGUGCAAGAAACGUGUGAUAAAAGUGGAGCAAAUGAGGUGCUGUGGCGGGGAAGAAGGGUUGGCACGGGAGUUAGAAUCACAGAAUCAUUUGGGUUGGAAAAGACCUUUAAGAUAACUAACUCCAACCACGAACCUGGCACUGCCAGGUCCACCACUAAACCAUGUCCCUAAGCAUCAUGUCUGCAGGUUUCUUAAAUACUUCCAGGGAUGGUGACUCAAGUUGGAAUGGUACAAGCCAGAAGAUAGUUUCAAUAGCGUGUGGGGUUAGCCUCAGAAAAGCUUGGGGAAAUCAAAGCUAUACCAGUCCUAGAAAAAUGAACGUGGGGCGUUUGUUCCACAGCGCUUGGCUUUGGCUUGGUGUACCAGUUGGGGAAGUUACUACUACACAACAGCACAUAAGAACAACGCCACAUAGGAAUGAUGAUUCACAAAGAGGGUCAGCCAUGUGAGAGAAAACUCCCCUUAAAAACAAUGCAGAUGCAAACCAGUGAAUGUGUAUGAAGAACUGAUAAGAGGAGUAUUCCAGAUAGCAACAAAUGAAAAAGAUGCCUUGCAAAUAUACCAUCCUUUUUGUUCAGAGUCUCUAAUCCGUACUUCAUUAAAUCUGAUCUACUUGUAUUUGAAUAGUCGUGGACGUUUCUUGCAUUGGUGUAUGUCAGUGGAACGUAGGAAACGGAACUGAAGAGAACUCUUUGGAUCAUCACCCACAGACCUCUGCUAUCACCUCUGAGCACAUCAUAUAAUGUUCAUCAAUUUAUAAAACUGUGUUUUAAAAAUAUGCUUAUUUAUUCUCCUGCAUGUAAAGGAUGACUGUUCUGGAAUGCUGCUCCAAUUCUGACUCUUCUGAAGGUCAGAGGUAUGAAUUGGGGGAAUCUGUCAUUUUACCUGAUGUGAAUCUAUUAGUACACGUAAAAUCACUCUUAGAAUAUGUGUUUCCACAGAUAACUAAGAUUUGCUUAAGAUUCUUAAUUAAUUUGGAAAAUUUCAUGGUUUUCUGAAGUUUUGAGAUUCUGUAUCUGAGUCUUUUUUCUAACAUGGAGGUAAUAGUGGCUUUUUUUUCCCCUCUGCUGACCUCUGAUUCACUGAUACACCUUCCCUCAUAGCAAUUUAAAGCACUGCCAACAAAAGAUGCUUUGCCAUGUGUUGAAUCUGUCAAGCUUUUAACUAGUUUCUCCUCAGGUGUCCAUUGAAGAUGAAGCAGGUUUUGAACAAAUGUGUCUCGGGGACUGUUUGUUAGCUAAUUUUUCAUCUGAGUUUCCAGCUGCACCAGCAACCUGAGUAAGGAAAAAAGAAGGUGAUUUUCAAGACAAACCCUCUUUGAAAUAGAAUAAGCAAUUCAGUGUUCACUAUUUGUCUUUUGAGAUAAAUUACUUUAACCAGUUACCUUUAUCUGUUGCUUUUUUAUCUCUACGUUUGUUUAAGCCACCGGCAGUACAAAAUUUGACUGGCUAUACAGUCACAGAUCUUU